CUUUUGUUGGGUGGAUGAGUGGCGAACGGGUGAGUAACACGUGAGUAACCUGCCCUCUUCUUUGGGAUAACGCCCGGAAACGGGUGCUAAUACUGGAUAUUCACUUGCCUUCGCAUGGGGGUUGGUGGAAAGGUUUUUCUGGUGGGGGAUGGGCUCGCGGCCUAUCAGCUUGUUGGUGGGGUGAUGGCCUACCAAGGCUUUGACGGGUAGCCGGCCUGAGAGGGUGACCGGUCACAUUGGGACUGAGAUACGGCCCAGACUCCUACGAGAGGCAGCAGUGGGGAAUAUUGCACAAUGGGCGAAAGCCUGAUGCAGCGACGCCGCGUGAGGGAUGGAGGCCUUCGGGUUGUAAACCUCUUUCGCUCAUGGUCAAGCCGCAGCUUUGGGUUGUGGUGAGGGUAGUGGGUAAAGAAGCGCCGGCUAACUACGUGCCAGCAGCCGCGGUAAUACGUAGGGCGCGAGCGUUGUCCGGAAUUAUUGGGCGUAAAGGGCUUGUAGGCGGUUGGUCGCGUCUGCCGUGAAAUCCUCUGGCUUAACUGGGGGCGUGCGGUGGGUACGGGCUGACUUGAGUGCGGUAGGGGAGACUGGAACUCCUGGUGUAGCGGUGGAAUGCGCAGAUAUCAGGAAGAACACCGGUGGCGAAGGCGGGUCUCUGGGCCGUUACUGACGCUGAGGAGCGAAAGCGUGGGGAGCGAACAGGAUUAGAUACCCUGGUAGUCCACGCUGUAAACGUUGGGCACUAGGUGUGGGGGCCACCCGUGGUUUCUGCGCCGUAGCUAACGCUUUAAGUGCCCCGCC
rnacentral:rRNA from 1 species